rnacentral:rRNA from 1 species
GAUGAACGCUGGCGGCGUGCCUAAUACAUGCGAGUCGAGCGAACAGACGAGGAGCUUGCUCCUCUGACGUUAGCGGCGGACGGGUGAGUAACACGUGGAUAACCUACCUAUAAGACUGGGAUAACUUCGGGAAACCGGAGCUAAUACCGGAUAAUAUAUUGAACCGCAUGGUUCAAUAGUGAAAGACGGGUUUGCUGUCACUUAUAGAUGGAUCCGCGCCGCAUUAGCUAGUUGGUAAGGUAACGGCUUACCAAGGCAACGAUGCGUAGCCGACCUGAGAGGGUGAUCGGCCACACUGGAACUGAGACACGGUCCAGACUCCUACGGGAGGCAGCAGUAGGGAAUCUUCCGCAAUGGGCGAAAGCCUGACGGAGCAACGCCGCGUGAGUGAUGAAGGUCUUCGGAUCGUAAAACUCUGUUAUUAGGGAAGAACAAAUGUGUAAGUAACUAUGCACGUCUUGACGGUACCUAAUCAGAAAGCCACGGCUAACUACGUG